AAUAGAUACCCCGGUAGUCCACGCCGUAAACGAUGAAUACUAGGUGUAGGGGUUGUCAUGACCUCUGUGCCGCCGCAAACGCAUUAAGUAUUCCGCCUGGGGAAUACGGUCGCAAGAUUAAAACUCAAAGGAAUUGACGGGGGCCCGCACAAGCAGCGGAGCAUGUGGUUUAAUUCGAAGCAACGCGAAGAACCUUACCUAGACUUGACAUCUCCUGAAUUACUCUUAAUCGAGGAAGUCCCUUCGGGGACAGGAAGACAGGUGGUGCAUGGUUGUCGUCAGCUCGUGUCGUGAGGUGUUGGGUUAAGUCCCGCAACGAGCGCAACCCUUAUUGUUAGUUGCUACCAUUAAGUUGAGCACUCUAGCAAGACUGCCCGGGUUAACCGGGAGGAAGGUGGGGAUGACGUCAAAUCAUCAUGCCCCUUAUGUCUAGGGCUACACACGUGCUACAAUGGCAAGUACAAAAAGAUGCAAUACCGCAAGGUGGAGCUAAACUUAAAACUUGUCUCAGUUCGGAUUGUAGGCUGAAACUCGCCUACA
rnacentral:rRNA from 1 species